CAAUAGCGUAUAUUAAAGUUGUUGCGGUUAAAAAGACUCGUAGUUGGAUUUCUGCCGAGGACGACUGGUCCGCCCUCUGGGUGAGCAUCUAGUUCGGCCUGGGCAUCUUCUUGGAAGAACGUAGCUGCACUUGACUGUGUGGUGCGGUAUCCAGGAACUUUUACCUUGAGGAAAUUAGAGUGUUUCAAGCAGGCACACGCCUUGAAUACAUUAGCAUGGAAUAAUAAGAUAGGACCUCGGUUCUAUUUUGUUGGUUUCUAGAGCUGAGGUAAUGGAUUAAUUAGGGAUAGUUGGGGGCAUUCGUAUUUAAACUGUCAGAGGUGAAAAUUCUUGGAUUUGUUAAAGACGGACUACUGCG
rnacentral:rRNA from 1 species